rnacentral:rRNA from 1 species
AACGCGAAGAACCUUACCUGGGCUCGAAAUGUAGAGGACGGCAUCAGAGAAGAUGCUUCCCGAAAGGGUCUCUAUAUAGGUGCUGCAUGGCUGUCGUCAGCUCGUGCCGUGAGGUGUUUGGUUAAGUCCAGCAACGAGCGCAACCCUUAUCGUUAGUUGCCAGCGCGUAAAGGCGGGAACUCUAACGAGACUGCCUGGGUUAACCAGGAGGAAGGUGAGGAUGACGUCAAGUCCGCAUGGCCUUUAUGUCCAGGGCUACACACGUGCUACAAUGGUCGGUACAGAAGGCAGCGAAACCGUAAGGCGGAGCAAAUCCUGAAAAACCGAUCUCAGUUCAGAUUGUAGUCUGCAACUCGGCUACAUGAAGUUGGAAUUGCUAGUAAUGGCGUGUCAGCAACAACGCCGUGAAUACGUUCCCGGGCCUUGUACACACCGUACGUC